GAGGGGUAAGAAGAAACAGCUAUACAGCUCAUUGCCGACCCCCCAUUAUUUAUUUUAUCAAACCCUAAGCUCUAUAUAACCCUUCUUAUUACCUUGUUUGUAUUACUGAAGGUGCCCUCGGUAGGUGAAGGGUCGUAAAUUUGGGGUUUUCCUUUCUCCUACGGGUGUCUGCAACGGUUGAAGACUUGGAUUUUAGGGUUUACUGGACACUUCCUGUAGGUGAAGUAGGGUUAAGGGAGGGGUAUAGUUGCUGGUCCGGCUGUCGUAAGAAGUCAAUAUGCCUUUGCUUGAGACUUGGGUCUCUAAGAUUUGAACCACUACUUGCUGGGGUUGCGGAUUUUGCUGGAUGAAGCCUUUCUACUUCUAGCCAAAAUUAGACUGUCAGAAAAUCUUGUGGUUAGAUUAUGCUGCUGUGGUUUCAAAAUUCAAACCACACAUUCAAGAGAGAGAGAGGGUUUUGCCUAUUGUACUUUAUUGAUAAAAAAAUGGCAUGAGAAGCUUUAUCUAGCUAGUACUUUCUGCCCUGCUGAGUAGCUUUAAUGUCUGUGAAGUUGUACUGGUAUGCUUAACGGGAAAACUAUAUGGUAAUCCAACUUCUUCGCAGGCUGAAAGGAAAUUGAUCUUCUGGUAAAUGUUGGUUUUCUAUGUUUACUUUGUUCCUUAAUAUAAAAAAGGAAUAUAAAUAGUUUUAUUCUUGGCAACUAAAGGGUGGAAAUUAAUGUUUGAGUUUGGUUUAGGCAGGUCAUUGACUUGGGAUUGUGUUAUUAUUACAUCAGAUAUUUUCUCUGGCA